AACUAACUUCCUUAGUUCCCAGUGGGUUCGGCCGCCGACUCCGCCGGUCUCCCCACUAGGUCCAAGUGGGCACAGGUAGAUAAACAGAUAGAUAGAUAUGGAAAGCUGUAGAAACAGAUAGAAAACUACUCUACUAUGCCCGAAUCAUAAACAUAUGGAUGCAUGUACAAUGAAAUGGUAAGCAACUAACCCGUCAACAUGUCCAAAAGUAGAGCUAUGCACUUAUUCAUCAAUCUCAUUUACUUGUUUCUUAAUUUCGUGGCUUCUCUGAAAGCUUGCCUACUGCUCACUAGCCAUCUCGAAGGUAGGGAGGGUCAACUCGCACUACGAACCGAGACCGUCUGCCGGGACCCAAAAUAGGCAAUCCCUUGGGACCCAAAAUAGGCAAUCCCACGUGACCAACUCCGGAGCGCACUACUUGUGUGGGGCUUCCAUCACAAGAUUUAAAAACAGACCGUGAGCAUGAUCCAAUCCUCGUCUCGAGAAUACCCUAUCCUCUAGGGUUACAAUCAUCAUAUAGUCCAUAGGUUUCACAUACACUACGACUCAUAUGUGUCAUUUGUUCUUUUGCUUACUAUCAACUAAAUGCCACUCGUUCAUUUGUUUAAUAUCAAACCAACCAUCGAGUCCAUCUCUUUCUCUGCACUAUAGGAUUCACAAGUCUCGACCCAAUCCUUAUCAAUCCACUAUGUCAAGUAUCCAAUACAUGCUACGAUAUCAUCAAGGAAAGCAUAAGGAAAGGCAAUGCACAAUCAUCCUAUAAUGCAAUAAUACAAGAUGCAAGAAUCGAAAUGUACUAAGACAUAGAAGGGGGCCCAGUUGCUU
rnacentral:lncRNA from 1 species